AUUCCAGCUCCAAUAGCGUAUAUUAAAGUUGUUGUGGUUAAAAAGCUCGUAGUUGGAUUUCGGCGGGUAUUGGUUGGUUUGAAUUGCUUCAACACUGACUUUUUUACCCGUGUGUUUUGCCAGAAUUUAGCGGGUGAUCUUCGCCGAUUGUCCGUUGGAACUGGUAGGUUUACUUUGAAAAAAUUAGAGUGCUCAAAGCAAGCUUACUGCUUGAAUAGUUGCGCAUGGAAUAAUAGAAUAGGAAGUCGUUUCUAUUUUGUUGGUUUUCGGAAAUCGACUUAAUGAUUAAUAGGAGCAGUUGGGGGUAUUCGUAUUCAAUUGUCAGAGGUGAAAUUCUUGGAUUUAUAGAAGACGAACUACUGCGAAAGCAUUAACCAAGGAUGUUUUCAUCA
rnacentral:rRNA from 1 species